rnacentral:rRNA from 1 species
UACAGAGGGGGCAAGCGUUGUUCGGAAUUACUGGGCGUAAAGGGCGCGUCGGUGGGAGUCUAAGUCAGAUGUGAAAGCCCUGGGCUCAACCUAGGAACUGCAUUUGAUACUGGACUGUCUAGAGUGAGGUAGAGGGUGGCGGAAUUCCCGGUGUAGCGGUGAAAUGCGUAGAUAUCGGGAAGAACACCAGUGGCGAAGGCGGCCACCUGGACCUUAACUGACACUGAGGCACGAAAGCUAGGGGAGCAAACAGG